rnacentral:rRNA from 1 species
AUUGAACGCUGGCGGCAGGCCUAACACAUGCAAGUCGAGCGGAUGAAGGGAGCUUGUUCCUGGAUUCAGCGGCGGACGGGUGAGUAAUGCCUAGGAAUCUGCCUGGUAGUGGGGGAUAACGUCCGGAAACGGGCGCUAAUACCGCAUACGUCCUGAGGGAGAAAGUGGGGGAUCUUCGGACCUCACGCUAUCAGAUGAGCCUAGGUCGGAUUAGCUAGUUGGUGGGGUAAAGGCCUACCAAGGCGACGAUCCGUAACUGGUCUGAGAGGAUGAUCAGUCACACUGGAACUGAGACACGGUCCAGACUCAUACGGGAGGCAGCAGUGGGGAAUAUUGGACAAUGGGCGAAAGCCUGAUCCAGCCAUGCCGCGUGUGUGAAGAAGGUCUUCGGAUUGUAAAGCACUUUAAGUUGGGAGGAAGGGCAGUAAGUUAAUACCUUGCUGUUUUGACGUUACCAACAGAAUAAGCACCGGCUAACUUCGUG